rnacentral:rRNA from 1 species
AUUGAACGCUAGCGGGAUGCUUUACACAUGCAAGUCGAACGGCAGCGCGGACUUCGGUCUGGCGGCGAGUGGCGAACGGGUGAGUAAUGUAUCGGGACGUGCCCAGUAGCGGGGGAUAACUACGCGAAAGCGUAGCUAAUACCGCAUACGCCCUACGGGGGAAAGCAGGGGAUCGUAAGACCUUGCACUAUUGGAGCGGCCGAUAUCGGAUUAGCUAGUUGGUGAGGUAACGGCUCACCAAGGCGACGAUCCGUAGCUGGUUUGAGAGGACGACCAGCCACACUGGGACUGAGACACGGCCCAGACUCCUACGGGAGGCAGCAGUGGGGAAUUUUGGACAAUGGGGGCAACCCUGAUCCAGCCAUCCCGCGUGUGCGAUGAAGGCCUUCGGGUUGUAAAGCACUUUUGGCAGGAAAGAAACGUCGCGGGCUAAUACCCCGUGGAACUGACGGUACCUGCAGAAUAAGCACCGGCUAACUACGUG